UUUAAAUUUAUGCUGGACAUUGCAUAAAAUGGAAAAUAGAGGUUAAAGUAAUAUUUGCUCCCAACAAAGGACACAUCCUACAGGAAGCUGAUGAUGGAGUCUUGCUGUGUUGACCAUGCUGAAGUGCAGUGGCUGCUCACAGGCACGAUCAUAGUGUACAACAGCCUCCAAUUCCUGGGCUCAAGUGAUCUUCCUGCCUCAGCCUACUGAGUAGCUGGGACUACAGUUCCUUACAGAUCCCCAGAGUGACUUUUCCAAGAGACUUGCGCGGAAUUCGCAAGGCUUUUUAUGACCUAGCCCUGGAAUUUAUUCAGCAUCCCUUCUGCUGUAUUCCACG